rnacentral:rRNA from 1 species
AAUCAACGCUGGCGGCGUGCCCAACACAUGCAAGUCGAACGCGAAAGUCCCGCAAGGGAUCAGUAGAGUGGCAAACGGGUGAGUAACACGUGGGUGACCUGCCUUCGAGUGGGGGAUAACGUCCCGAAAGGGACGCUAAUACCGCAUGACAUCCUGCCUUUGAAGAGGCGGAGAUCAAAGCUGGGGAUCGCAAAGACCUAGCGCUUGAAGAGGGGCCCGCGUCCGAUUAGCAGUUGGUGGGGUAAUGGCUCACCAAAGGCGACGAUCGGUAGCCGGCCUGAGAGGGCGGACGGCCACACUGGGACUGAGACACGGCCCAGACUCCUACGGGAGGCAGCAGUGGGGAAUUGUUCGC